rnacentral:rRNA from 1 species
CUAGCGACGUGCCUAAGAUAUGCAAGUCGAUCGCGAUUUAGACUUCGGUCUAAUGGACGAGGCAGACGGCUGAGUAACGCGUGGGAACCAACCCCAAACACUGGGAUAGCUCACCGAAAGGUGGGGUAAUACCAGAUAGUCCCGCCUCUGGCGGGUAAAGCUCCGGCGGUUUGGGACGGGCCCGCGUCCUAUCAGGUUGUUGGUGAGGUAAAGGCUCACCAAGCCUAUGACGGGUAGCUGGUUUGAGAGGAUGACCAGCCAGACUGGGACUGCGACACGGCCCAGACUCCUACGGGAGGCAGCAAUUAGGAAUCGUGCGCAAUGGACGAAAGUCUGACGCCGCGACGUCGCGUGGAGGAUGAAGGUCUGCGGAUCGUAAACUCCUUUUAUCAGGGAACAAGGUUCUGAGUGUACCUGAUGAAUAAGUGCCUGCCAACCACGUGCCAGAAGCAUCGGUAAAACGUGGGGCACAAGCGUUAUCCGGAUUUACUGGGCGUAAAGAGAUACGUAGGCGUCUUUCCAAGUCAGUUGUUAAAUCUUUCGGCUCAACCGAAACAUGGCAACCGAUACUGGAUUGAUUGAGGUAGAUAGGGGAGAACGGAAUUCCUGGUGGAGCGGUCAAAUGCGUAGAUAUCAGGAGGAACACCAAUGGCGAAGGCAGUUCUCUGGGUCUUACCUGACGCUAAGGUUCGAAAGCGUGGGGAGCAAAACGGAUUAGAUACCCGUGUAGUCCACGCCGUAAACGAUCCCUGCUAGGUGU